rnacentral:rRNA from 1 species
CACGUAGGGGGCAAGCGUUGUCCGGAUUUAUUGGGCGUAAAGAGCUCGUAGGCUGUUCGAUAAGUCGGGUGUGAAACCUCCAGGCUCAACCUGGAGACGCCACCCGAUACUGUCAUGACUAGAGUCCGGUAGGGGGAGCGUGGAAUUCCUGGUGUAGCGGUGAAAUGCGCAGAUAUCAGGAGGAACACCAGCGGCGAAGGCGGCGCUCUGGGGCCGGUACUGACGCUGAGGAGCGAAAGCGUGGGUAGCAAACAGG